UGCCUUCCAUCAACUGGGAAUCAAUUAUGAGGCUGAUUGGGAUGUUUGUUUUUUUCAGUUACUCAAACAGAUCGAGAUGCAUGGAAUGGCAGAAACCUUCCGGUCUUCACUAAAGGAGCACACGGUGUAGGGAUACAGACACAGGUGUCUAGAAAUGAAGAGAGGCGAGAAAGGGAGCAAGACACAGAAUUUGACAAUACCAAUAAUUCGUGUGUAAGGCUGUUUUGUUGAAAGCACAUCCCAGAGCCCCUGGAAACCUGAGGAGGGAAGUAUUACGUGUGUUUCAGACCUGGCAGCAGAUGAAUUCACGACAGGCUGGCUGCAAAGAGGUAUGUGCCAGCAUUUGUUAUCUUGGAGUGUCUUGUCCUGAGUGCUCUUGAUUACUGCUG
rnacentral:lncRNA from 1 species